UAGUAAGUAGUACAUUAGAUAAACAUACACGUUUUUCUCAUCCCUUCAAUCAUGUUUGCACAAAUAAAUUUUCAAAAAAAAAACAACAACCUUUGCAACAAAUGUGAAAAGGGCUCCCUAGGAUUUGCACAAAUAAAUUUUCAAAAAAAAAACAACAACCUUUGCAACAAAUGUGAAAAGGGCUCCCUAGGAGUACCUAGGAUGCUUUGGGUGCCUAAUACCUUCCCAUUG
rnacentral:lncRNA from 1 species